GCAUAUACGAUGAAGUUUUCGGAUGGAAUUGUAUAUACUUUAGCGGCGGACGGGUGAGUAACGCGUGAGCAACCUGCCUUUCACAGGGGGAUAAGGCGGCGAAAGCCGCUCUAAUACCGCAUGAGACCACAGUGGUGAUGCUACAGGGGUCAAAGGAGCAAUCCGGUGAGAGAUGGGCUCGCGUCCGAUUAGGUAGUUGGUGGGGUAAUGGCCCACCAAGCCCGUGAUCGGUAGCCGGCCUGAGAGGGUGAACGGCCACAUUGGAACUGAGACACGGUCCAAACUCCUACGGGAGGCAGCAGUGGGGAAUAUUGGGCAAUGGGGGGAACCCUGACCCAGCAACGCCGCGUGAGGGAAGAAGGUUUUCGGAUUGUAAACCUCUGUUCUUGGGGAAGAGUAGAAGACGGUACCCAAGGAGGAAGCCCCGGCUAACUACGUGCCAGCAGCCGCGGUAAUACGUAGGGGGCGAGCGUUGUCCGGAAUGAUUGGGCGUAAAGGGCGCGUAGGCGGCUUUGCAAGUCAGUAGUGGAAGUCCAUUUUUCAAGGAUGGAAGUGCUACAGAAACUGCGGAGCUUGAGUGCAGGAGAGGUUAUCGGAAUUCCCGGUGUAGCGGUGAAAUGCGUAGAGAUCGGGAGGAACACCAGUGGCGAAGGCGGGUAACUGGACUGCAACUGACGCUGA
rnacentral:rRNA from 1 species